GGCGGGCGGGCCAACUGGUUUUUUGACGUGGCGCGGGAUGGGGGGGUGUCUCUUCUUGCUGGCAGGGGUUCAUGGUGCCCAGUUAGAGGCUUGAGUGAUGUUACCAGGUGUACGUUGGGACUUGUGAAACUGUGUUGUCACCGGUCGCACCUGGUUUGUGCUUGGACUUCAGAAUGCCGGCCUUUCUAUGGACAUUUUGUAGCAAGCAUACAUAUUAGAAUAAUGAUGCAAGAAAGAAAUCCUACACCUGACCUGAGUUACCUCUAAAGUCUAAAUGUAUAAUGCAAAAUGGGAACGACAUUGGUCUUACCAUUUGUCGGGUUGCCAGAGUUUCUCUCUCUUCGUUUUUUUGUUGAUAAAAGGGAUUUUCUUUCUCCCCAGUUACAUUAGCGAAACCGCAGCAAUCCUUACAAGGGAGACAGAAAGAAAAGAAAUGUAACAAGUGUUAAACAUAGCACACCCGAUGGUUGUCGCGGUUACAACAGGAAUCAGGUGCGACAGUGGACAGAUAGAUUAGGUUGUUAGUAUUUUUCUUUUAUCUCUUUGUAACAACUCUCUCUAUCUCUAUCCUAUCCCUUGUAGCACAAGUUGUAUCUCAACUACCGAACCUUGUACGCUAUUGGGAGGUCGCGACCCUGCUAUAUAAACACGGAACCGUCAACCAGAGAUGGUAUGACGUUUAAAGCCUUUCUAUAUGGUAACCAGAGUCUAACUCUUCCACAAUACAUCUAGCCUAUCGCCAUCCACAGAAAAGCUUUCGCCGUGGCCGCCUUCUCCAGCGUCGCGAACUCUGGCCUCUCUGGCCAGAUCACCGAAAAGCUGACCCGCACCAACUUCAUCCUGUGGCGCAUGUAGAUCACGCCAUAGCUCCGAGGUGCGGGCUUCUUCGGCUACGUUGACGGCAGCAUGCCGGAGCCGGCCAAAGUCAUCGUCACGAAGGACAAGGACGGGAAGGAGGAGUCUACACCGAACCCCCUUCAUCCGAUCUAGAUCCGUGAAGAUCAACAGGUACUAGGAUACCUUCUGAAUAAUCUCUCCAAAGAGGUACUUGUGCAGGUCACAUCGAUCGGCCAUGCCCAUGAUCUCUGGACAGCGCUGUCGAGCAUGUUCUCGUCGCAGUCGUUGUCCCGCGUCAACAACAUACGCGUCGCCCUCGCCAAUGCACGCAAGGGGACGCAAUCUGUGGCAAGCUUCUUCGCGCACAUGCGCUCGCUUGCUGACGAGCUCGCGGCGGCGGGCAAACCACUCGGUGACGACGAGCUGGCCUCCUACAUCACCGCAGGCCUCGACAUGGAGUACCAGCCGCUCAUCUCCGCGCUCGACGCCUGUACAGAACCGGUCUCCCUCAACGAUCUGUUCGCGAUGAUGAGCAACUUCGACCAGAGGGUCGCCCUCUAUCAGGGCGUGCACGGCAGCGGGUUCAAGUCCUCGGCCAACGCAGCCAUGCGUGGUCGUGGGGGCAGCUCUUGCCAUCGAGGACCGGCGCGCGGCAGGGGCCGCAACACCGGCGGCCAAGCCAACAUCAACAACUCCCGCGGCAACAGCAGUGGCGGCGGCAGGCCCUCCUCCAACAACAACAGGGGCCGCCGCACAAACUCCAACUCCUCCAACAGAUCACGUCCAGAUGCCAUCCGCUGUCAGAUCUGCUGCAAACCUGGCCACUCGGCUAAGGAUUGUUGGUACAGGUAUGAAGAAGAUGAGGACGACUCAUCACAAGAUGAGAAGAUGGCCGGAGCAGCGGACGGGUCAUAUGGAGUGGACACCAACUGGUAUGUUGACAGUGGUGCUACAAACCACAUCACCGGCGAGCUCGAGGAGGUGACCAUGAGGGAAAAGUACCGCGGACAAGACCACAUCCACACUGCAAGUGGAGAAGGUAUGAAGAUUCGUCAUGUUGGUCACACAAUUGUUAAAACCCCUAGCAGAAACAUUCAUCUUAGAAGAAUAUUACAUGUUCCUAGUGCCUCAAAAAGUCUUCUUUCCGUUCAUCGUAUUGCUCUUGACAAUCAUGUCUUUCUUGAAUUUCACCCUUACUUCUUUUUGAUCAAGGAUCAGGCAACGAAGAAGGUGCUCUAUCGAGGUAGAUGCGUUCGUGGGCUCUACCCUUUGAUUCCAGAGAUUAGAAGAUUCAAUAAACAAGCUUUUAGUGCCACCAAAGUGUCUUCAACACGGUGGCAUGAUCGAUUAGGACAUGCAGCUUUUUCUUUAGUUCAACGUGUGCUUAGGAAAAAUAAGCUCCCAUAUGUUGGAGAGCAUGAUGUCGAAACUAUUUGUGAUUCUUGUCAGCGAGCUAAAAGUCAUCAAUUGCCUUAUCCAAUUUCGACAAGUGUUUCUACUCAACCUUUACAACUCAUUUUUUCCGAUGUAUGGGGGCCUGCCCCCUCCUCUGUUGGUAGACACACGUAUUAUGUCAGUUUCAUAGAUGACUAUAGCAAAUAUUCUUGGAUCUAUCUCUUAAAAAGACGAUCCGAUGUGUUCCAAGUUUUUAGAAAUUUCCAAGCACUCGUUGAACCAAAAUUUGAUAGAAAAAUCAUCGCCCUCCAAUCUGAUUGGGGGGCAAAUAUGAGAAGUUGAACUCUUUCUUCCAAGAAAUUGGAAUCUCUCAUCACGUGUCUUGUCCUCACGCCCAUCAACAGAAUGGGUCGGCCGAACGUAAGCAUCGGCAUAUUGUAGAGGUUGGUUUAGCUCUCCUUGCGGGUGCCUCCAUGCCUCUCAAAUUUUGGGAUGAGGCGUACCUCACUGCCGUUCACAUCAUAAACAUGCUUACCAGUCGUGUUAUCAAUAAUGAAACCCCCAUGGAACGGCUUCUCAACAUCAAACCGGACUACACCUCUCUUCGUGUGUUUGGAUGCGCUUGCUGGCCGAAUCUUCGACCUUAUAAUAACCGCAAGCUUAUGUUUCGCUCCAAACAAUGUGUGUUCAUAGGAUACAGUGCCCAGCACAAAGGCGUUAAAUGUCUUGAUGUGUCCACCGGCCGUGUCUAUAUUUCUCGCGAUGUGGUUUUUGAUGAGACUAAAUUUCCAUUUGCUGAUCUCCAUCCAAAUGCCAGCGCUCUCCUUCGCCAAGAAAUCCAACUUCUUCCACCUCAACUUAGCGGAUUAGAUCAAGGGGGCAACAGUUGUGAUGACCAUACAUUGACUAAUCAUCAUAACCAUCUACAUGAGCUUUGCUGUGAUACAGAUGCAGAUGCACUCAGCGAAGAAAAUGGCGAAGGAAAUGGCCGAAACAGUCAGGAGAUCAGUUCAGAAGGGCACAUUUUAUGUGUUCACCAUUGGGGGACAGAUCCUCCUUGGGAUCGCUGCCGUAGAAUCUGCCCAGGCGAUCUGACCCGGGAUCCGCGUCGCCCAGAGACGACGUCGCGCAGGAAACCGCAUCACCUGCCAGACGUGACAGCAGCGAACCAGCGGCUGCCGUGCGGCGCACUCCAACUCGUCCCCGCGCGGGCGCUGACCCGCACCAAUCCGCGGCCGACACGCGGCUGCCUGAGAGUCGUUGGGCGCCAGGAGGGCCCCGCUGCUACGAGCGACGACAAACGGCACGCGUGUCCACCGGCGCUGAUUCGUCUGGGCCCACGGGCUCGCGAUCCGACGCUGAUCCUGCCGGCCCAGUGCAAUCAUCCGGCAAUGAUGAGGGUGUGGUAGGUGCGGGAUCUGGCUCGGGAUCCUCUGCGCCAUCUCUACCACACCCGCCACGUCCUGACGCCACAAAGAAUCCGGGCGCACCUGACGGGGCUGCACCUGCGUCAGGGGGAUCUGCUUCGAGAUUGAGGACAGGAUCUUCUACGCCACGGCCUGCUGCUGCAUCUCCUGUACAGCCACGCACACGGCUCCAAAAAGGGGUAAUCCAGCAUAUGAACUAUAAAACCAAAUUUGGUCUUGUUGCUUAUUCUUCAGGUGAACCUAACACGGUUGAAGAAGCCCUUAGAGAUCCCCGGUGGAAGAAAGCCAUGGAAGAAGAAUACAUGGCACUACAAAAAAACAUAACAUGGCAUUUGGUUCCCCCACGGCAAGGUAAAAACUUAAUUGAUUGCAAGUGGGUUUUCAGAAUUAAAAGGAAAUCUGACGGAACCAUAGACCGCUAUAAAGCCAGACUCGUUGCAAAAGGAUUCAAACAACGAUAUGGUAUAGAUUAUGAGCACACCUUUAGUCCUGUGGUUAAGGCUGCUACUAUCCGUCUUGUGUUGUCUAUUGCUGUUUCCAGGGGAUGGUGCCUUAGACAGCUAGAUGUACAGAACGCGUUCCUUCAUGGUGUUCUGGAAGAGGAAGUGUACAUGAGACAACUCCUGGGUUUGUAAACAAAAGCUCACCAUAUCAUGUGUGCAAACUUGACAAAGCUUUAUAUGGACUCAAGCAGGCCCCUAGAGCAUGGUACUCACGCUUAAGUCAGAAGCUGCAGGCACUUGGUUUUGUUUUCUCCAAGUCUGACACGUCACUGUUUAUUUACAAUAAGUCUAAUACAUCCAUAUUUUUUCUCAUAUAUGUUGAUGAUAUUAUUGUCACAAGCUCAUCUGACAAGGCAGUGACAGGAUUAUUGAAAGACUUGAGUGCUGAGUUUGCCCUCAAGGAUUUGGGAGAUUUGCAUUUCUUCCUAGGGAUUGAAAAGUCAAGAAACAUGAUGAUGGUCUUCAUCUCUCUCAGGAAAAGUAUGCUACUGAUCUGGUGAGAAGAGCCGGCCUUCAAGGAUGUAAGCCCUCACCAACUCCUCUAUCCAGCUCAGAAAAAUUGUCUCUUAUAGAAGGAGAUCUUUUGAACUAAGUUGAUAGUACAAAUUACAGAAGUUUAGUAGGAGCACUACAGUACUUGACAUUGACAAGGCCUGAUAUUUCCUUUGCUGUUAACAAAGUAUGCCAGUUUCUCCAUGCACCUACCACAGUUCACUGGACAGCUGCAAAACGUAUAGUGAGAUAUGUGAAAGGUACCAUGAAUCUUGGAUUGACCUUCAAUAGAUCUUCAUCUACUCUUGUUAGUGCCUUUUCUGAUUCAGACUGGGCAGGAUGUCUGGAUGACAGACGUUCUACUGAUGGGUUUGCAAUAUUCUUUGGACCUAACCUUAUAUCAUGGUGUGCAAAGAAACAUGCUACUGUGUCCAGGUCAAGUACAGAAGCUGAGUACAAGGCACUUGCAAAUGCCACAACAGAAAUCAUUUGGGUUCAGUCUAUGUUGAAAGAACUUGGACUAAAAUCCACACAUGUUCCCUGCUUAUGGUGUGAUAAUCUUGGUGCUACCUAUCUGUCUGCUAACCCUGUGUUCCAUGCAAGAACGAAACACAUUGAGAUCGAUUUUCACUUUGUCAGAGAACUAGUUGCUAAUCAACAGUUGGAGAUUCGUUUUGUUCACUCUAGAGACCAGGUUGCAGAUGGCUUCACAAAGGCAUUGCCUACAAGGAACUUUACUGAAUUCAAACGUAAUCUCAAUCUCAUGGAGUUGUGAUUAAGGGAGGGUGUUAAACAUAGCACACCCGAUGGUUGUCACGGUUACAACAGGAAUCAGGUGCGACGGUGGAGAGAUAGAUUAGGUUGUUAGUAUUUUCCUUUUAUAUCUUUGUAACAACUCUCUCUAUCUCUAUCCUAUUCCUUGUAGCACAAGUUGUAUCUCAACUACCGAACCUUGUACGCUAUCAGGGAGGUCGCGACCCUGCUAUAUAAACACGGAACCGUCAACCAGAGAUGGUAUGGCGUUAAAGCCUUUCUACAACAAGAAAAUAGGUGAGCGAUAUGGUGGAAAACAGGCACAGGGAUACAGGCUACAGCCCAGAGCAAACAGAGAUACUGCAGAAUUGAGAGAUAAGCAGCACAUCAGGACGUAGAGGCAAGGCAAACACCAGCUUGCAGCAUGCCCGCCGGUGAUUCUUCUGCCUAUAGUGUGAACUAGAUCGGUAUCGCACCUUGGCGCAAGGGUGCCGGUCCCGACGUUUUUCUCAAGCAGGGAUAACGAAAAAAAUAUUCACAUAUAAUAGGAGCAAGACAUCAUCAAUGGAUACCGAAUGAUAGUACCAACACAUCUCCAUAGCGACCAGAACUAUAGUAAACACAUUUAAAGGAUGCAAAUGUUCAUACAUGGUAAAUUAAAGAAUGCAAUGUUGGUACAAGGUAGAUAUUGAAUACAAAAGGAUGGAUAGAUGUGCCAAAGAGGUCGUGUUAACAAAAGAAGAGGGAGAUCACACGGUAGUUUACACGGUACAUCACAAGAGCUGGUGGCAUCAUGUAUCAUCGGGUACUUGCCAGAGUUAGAAUAGGUGAUCGGUGACGUCCAUCGAUGAUCAAAGCCAUGGCCUUGGUGUGAAGAAAACAAUUGGUGCAAACACCUCAUGCUCUUGUGCCUGAGACGCCAAAUGAUUAGAUAGGUAUAAUAUAUUUGGAAACAGAAUGUGCCAGGCCUGCAAGCUCAAAAAUAAGAAUAACACGAUAAGUAAAAAUUCAACAGUAGCAUAAGCUAAUCUGCAAGUUGGUGAUAUUUAGAUUGGUAAAUAGAUUCAUUAUGUGAGUAUUCGUACUAAAUAAAAAUAAAUGCCACAACUAAAUCACAAUCAAUAGAUCUGGAGUAUUCUCUCCGAAAAGGGUAUUCUAAUGGACCAUGAGACUCUCACAACAAUAGAACUGCAGCUACUACUGAAAAACCGAGCAGUAUUUUUAUACACGGACCAAGGAACAGUAAGAUUUACUCACAAGAACCCUAGAUCGACACUACAAAAGUACAGAAUUUAUAAGUGACCGACAGCUCGCGUUUACCUUGUUCAUUGGUGGCAACAUGGACUGAAUUUUCCCUGUUCCUGUCGUCGGCGUAGCGUAGAAGAGCUCCCUCCGUGCGCUUUUGGUCCAGUACAACUGAGACAUCAAGUUCAAAAAGGCAGUUCUAUAGACCAAGAUUAGGAAUACAUUCGACAGGUCGAAAUACCAUUUAUAAUACACAUUAUUAAAGAAGGACCAUACAUAAUGAUAGCAAGGCCUUUAUACAAAGACCAACAAUAACCAGGUAGCAGUACACACAGGUAAGUGUGCAUUGCCCCAUUGCUCCUGACGGCAAACAAACACAGAAAGCUUACUGGCAUGACUCAUUAACAAUAAAAUAAUAUCGGAAAUCAUCCUUGAAGUUUUCAUGAAUAACUAAUAGCAUUGCCCAACCAUUGUUUAUCCCAUAAUAUAUAUUGGAAGAAUCCUACACACAAGUCAAUUAUUGUAACCAAUGAAUAGGAAAGCUGGAUACAACUGAGUUGUUAUUGUUGGUUAGUAUGAGCAGGUUGAGCAGAACCAUCAUUUUUAAAAGCCUGGAGAAUUAGACAUCACCGGUAACCAAAACCAAAUAGAAACACUUCAUACAGAGUAACUGAAAGAUCUCCAAACACAUUUUGCUACACAAGCAUUUAAAAAGUUUUGAUUUAGCUACUGACAUGGCACCGGGCUAGUUAUGUAGGAGAAAUACACGAUGGCCAGGAGAGAAUUUGGAGAAGCGCGGAACAAAAACUACAACACAAGUUCUGCCUAAUGAGUACAGACAGAUAUGAGCCACUGAAACAUGGUGGUGACAUCUCACCUUUAUAACAAAACUAUCAUCAUAUAGUCCCCAUCCAGAAGCAGAGCAUGUUGAAAUACAUCAAACUUAGUAAGGCAAGGAUGACAGACAAAGAUAGGUACACAUGCAUUGCAUACGACAAAAAAGAUUGCCUGGCCUGGUUAGAUAUAUUUUUAGUGUAUACUCCAGCCUGGUUAGAUUGCCUCUGCUUACUAACAGGGCUUGUCUUAUAUAUCUUUUGAGUACAAACAACGAACGGAAUACCGACGCGGGUUAGAAGAAUAAACAACAAACAUCCUGUGGUGAUGAAGAAAUAACUAACAAAUCACCGAAUCACAACACACAAACAAAGUACAGUCACUAUCAUACCCAAAAGAAUAAUCACUAUCAGACCCAUUAAUUUGUCCAUACGAGCACGUAUAAAACAAAUUAUGAAACAACUAUGUAAGAUCAACAACAGGCUACCGGUGUACAUAUAGACAAUGAAAGAAAAGAAUAACUACCUAGCAUAUGGAGCAAUCCCAUUGUAUCCUCUCAAACAGAGACACCUCGUAGAGCAUAGUCCAAAAGUUCAAAGGAUUUUCCCAGCUUCCACAAGAAGAAACCAUCCAAACACUACAGGCCAGACACAAGAGUUAGUGCUGUUGCAUAAAUUCAUAUAAGACGAUCCACACAAAUAUCUUAUGCAGAGUAUACUGACACAAGCAAAAUACACUGACAAUGAGGAGGGGGUCGCCCCAAGAUGCAUCAGAUCAUUAGUCGCACACUGAGAAGCUAAACAAACAGCAGAAUGUAGUGGCCAAAUUCAACAAUAAGCUUUUGAAUUCUGAAUGUAAGAUUACACAGAUACAUCUUGGGUUGGGGGUAUUUGAACAAAAUAACCAAAGACAAAUCAUUAUUCAUGAAAUAAGAUUGACAGAGUCUAGAUUGCAUUAUGAAGUGAGCUGUACGAGUACAAAUUAAUUUACCCCUGAAUAUAACGAAAAGUGGCAGAAGCUAUCUGGCAGGCCAUUUUUCAGAACAGGCCAGUACAGAUUUACGACCCGUAAAACAAAAUAUGCUUAAAGCCUCUAUCUGAUUUAGCUAAAGCAGGAGAGAAUCUAAUAUAAAAAAAUAGCGGGGAUCGGCAGCGGUGGUCGCGUCCCGUCACCGGCAACCUUGGUAUGUACCAUCAGUAAUACUACCAUUUAGACCAAGCCAUAAGUUGGGCUAGAAGUAAUUAAACGGUAAGUCACAUAUGUGUUUAGCAUUGCAAAUUAACAGAUUUAUACAUACUAAAGUGUAGUCACCAAUAUUUUUACCAGUCAAGAGAUUACAAAAGUUAAUUAGCUGACAGUAAGUUUGGCACCAAGAACAUAAACAUAGAGAGCAAAAGUCAAACACAUUGGUUGUGGAGAUGGUAAAACCACAACCCCAUUUCCUAUAAUUCAUGGGAUAAUUCCAACCUGCUACUUGGCCAUCAUUUCCACAUUCUUACAUCUGUGAGUAGGCAAUAAAAAGUGAGAACUCAACUAGCACAUGCUAUUUGAAUACUAAGAAAGGGCAUUGCCCCUAUGCAACCGGGCACCGUAGUGUGCACUGCCACAACACAACAAUAUCUGCCUCAACCACCUCUCGGAAAGCAAAAUUUGGAGCAAGAGUUAUCAUUGAAAAAUAGUUGGGAGAAUUGUAGGAUAUAUGUCCACAUAUGCUAAUUACAAUGUUGGUCAUUUCACACUCUUGGGUGGCCUAAAAGGAGCAGUUUUGGUUUAUCUACACCAAGAACAGGAGCAAAGGAGCUCCAUGACAAAUCUUUUAAACAACAUUACACCUAAGGAGCUAGCAAUAUGUGAAAAGAAACAUUAUAAUAGUGAGCAAAUAAGUCAUAAUAACUGCAAGAGGAUCAUGGUCAAAUUCAGUAUCAGACAUGGCUCGAGGCAAUGAACAAUGCUAAGAAAUCAAGUAUCACUUAGAAAUGAAGUAGACUAUAAUCUAGUCAAUGAACAUGUGUUAAAUCAAUCUAAUGAGGGAAAUCAUGGAUAACAAAGUGAGGCCACAUAAUAGAAUGAACUGAACUAAGAUCAAUACUGCAAUCUCCACAUCUCAGUUUACAUAGUAACCACGGCUCUAAAAGUUAAACAUACAAAACUGAGAAGGAAAUGUCAAGUGGAAGGAUACAGUCCUGCCUGGGUAUGCCAGUGUAGGGUGGGGCCUCAUGUCAUCUUCUACAAAGAACUGAGAAAACAAAACUGAAUGUUAAAUAGUGUAGGGCGGCCCGGUCCUGUUGUUCCUCUUCCUGAUGCUCUAGGGCGGCAGAAUGACCCCUCUAUUGAACACCUCUACGUACAUUGCGCCCCUGGCCAAGAGCAGCUGCAAUAAUAGUUCAGGGAGGGAGGAGAUAUAUCAAUAAGCAUAAUGAAAAAUGCCAAUAGAUUUGAUACAAUUAUACUGCACACUGUUUCCGAAUCCCACAAUUUAUUGCCUGAGUCAAAUCUAUAGUACCAUUGUAUCAAGGCAAGGCAAUAAAGUCAAAUCUAUUGGCAAGUACAUGCAUGGGCCCAAAAGCACUCCAAAGGAUGGUGCACAUCAUGCGAGGGCGCAAAGCACUCCAUGAUUUGAUACAAGGUAAAAUGAUAACGGAGGACAAAUGAAGUAGAACAAUCAGUACACAGGAAAGCAAGGAAAUAGUAACAUGCACAUCAAAGCAAGGUAGAACAGAGAAGAUAAAUACCUAACCGAAGGGAUGGGAUUACUUCUUCCUGCCUUUCUUGCCCGCACUCACUGGGGCAAUAAUAGGAACAGAUGGUUCAGACCUGAAAACCAUGGACACAAGGGGGGAAAUUAUACCAGACAAUAAACAUGGGUACAUUUUCAGUGGAAGCAAUGUCGACUGGCAGAAUAACAGUAAUCACCUCUUUGCGUCACCUUAUCUUUCUCGACGAUGUUCUUUUGGAUGAUCUUCUCACUAACCGAAUCUGCCGUCUCGUCGGCCUGUAAUGGGAAGUAUGACCCUGAAAAUGGGAAGUAAUGUGAUCACAGAGGCAUGGCGAUCAACUCUACAGAGAUAGGCAAAGAGGAAAAUGAAUUUACCUCAGGUAACAUGCCAACUGAAGCCGAUGGAUUAGAACUAUUUCCUGCAAGAUUGCUGGAUGGCGUAAGGGAGUUGCUGGAGUCAUGAUGACAUCACCUUCUUCAAUAUGUUCCAUGAAGAUGUUGAUAUUCUUUUAUAGCACCUCAGCGUACAUGUGGUUACCCUGGCAGUCGAAGAACUAUGGUGUAAGCAUUUGUGAGAAUGGGCAUUAAAGAACUGUCUAGGCGACAAUCACAUAGUCGAUAGGAUGAUUGUACGCUGGCGGUAUGUAUCCUUAAUGGGUCCAUUAUCAAUCCCACCACGGUGCUGCCAUAGUCGUGAGACAUACACACGGAUACGCCAAAUGGUAUUUCCCUGACGAAGCAGGGACACAAGAUUGAACUCCAUCUGUAGAAAUAGCAAUCAUCAAAUAUUAGAUAGCCUCCGGAGAAAAGAUUAGAAGACAGGAUACUCAUCAAAAACAAGAGAUAAAUAAUGCAGAAUAGGAAAGCCAAGGUGUUACAUGGAAUAACCUUUUUUCAGACAUAAUUCAACUCUAUCAUGAAGCAAGCUAUAUGAACAAAACAAGACCAGACCGUUCAUAGUAUAUACAGUUAUUGAAGAGCAAGUAGCAUAUAAAAUUUAGAUCUAAGUAUCAUUAAGGGCUCCUUUAACACAAGCAGAGAUAGCAUGAUCAUAAUAUACAUAUAAACACGCUAGCAGUAGGAAGCCUCGUUAUCGAUGCACCCCAGAAAAAGGAAAUCAUCCACAGAGAUAGGCAUCGUUAUAGAUGACACGAGCAAAAGCACAGCUAUUACUAACUAUUCUUAGGGUUUAAUACAAAGCAAAUCCACCUAAAAGAGUGCUAUCAUGGAUCGUAUCAAGAAAAGAAAAGGAGAGACAUGUACUAACUGGACACUGAAGGCAUAUCAUCUCCUAGGAUAUUGUGGUAAAACUACAACUAAACUUAAAGUCAUACUUAUUUCACAGAAUAAGAACUGUAGCCGGAUACAUGACCCCAGAUGAUGCACCCUUCUUCUCGCCUUCGGCUGGGCGACAACUACAUACUUGCCUUGCACUGACACUACAAAUAGUAAUCUAUUCAGGAACUAAAAUAAAUGAAUUCCUUACCUACUGCAUUUUGUGAACCAAAAUAAGUGGGACCAUAUCGAGUAUCAUUCUCAUGUUCGACUCGGACGCAGGUUAAUUGACGUGGUGUACAUUCUCAUGUUCGCCUCGGACACAGGUUAAUCGACGUGGUGUACUAAAACUCGGUUAUAAUUUAAAAGAUUCAUAUUGUGGACUAUCGAACCAUCCUACCGCUUAGUUUGUUAGAAGAAUAUACAAUACAGUCUUGAUUUUAAGACAUGACCAACAAAUGCACAAGGUAAGUAUGUACCUAGUAGGCAUUGACAUGAAUAUUACAUAGCAGCACAAAUAAGCAGAGCAUAAAAAUACAAUCGCCGAAGAAACCUAAGGGAAAAAAUACCAUGUCUAUGCACAAAUAUCAAUAAAGUUGCACUACAGAUGGGGAGAAAUAGAACAUGGUACUAAAAUAAGCCUGUACAUAUAUACCUAGACACAAAUAAAACUCUGAACCUCAGUCCCAACCAUGCUAUACUAAAAAACAAAGUUUACACACGCACAUGCUUUGACAGAAUACAUAACAUAUAUCCACAAGAACAAUAGAAUUCCUUUUCCAAAUGGAAACAAAUAUAUUACCUCAACUUCUUACAUGUAGAAAGAUUGUUAUUGGCUUCAGACCAAGCAUCACAUUUCCUUGCACAGACUGAAUACUCAAGUUACAUGUUGAAAGUGCGUUAUAUCGACUAGAGGGGGGGUGAAUAGGCGAUUUUUAUGAAUUCUUCACUUAGGAAUUUGCAGGUGAGGAAAUUCCUUAGCGAAGAACUACUUGCAGUGAAAUAAGUACUCAAAAGUAAACAUAGUAGACACAAGCAUGGUCAUCAUGAUGAAAUGAAGACAAGCACAGAGUACAGAAAGCGUAAACACAGGAUAACACAGGAUGAAGACAAACAGACUGAAGAAAUUGAACUGAGGAAAUUGAGAAAGUCUUCAGUCAAAGUCUUCAAACACAUAUAUGAACAGGUGCACAACACAGUUAUGAGGAAAUGAAAGAGUUGAGUAAAUAGAACCAGUAAGCUUGGUGAAGACAAUGAUUUGGUAUACCAGUUCCAACUGCUGUCUCAGUUGUACAUCUGGUUAGGGCGGCUAGGUAUUUAAACCUGAGGACACACAGUCCCGGACACCCAGUCCUGAACACGCAGUCCAGGACACUUAGUCCUCACCGUAUUCCCCUUGAGCUAAGGUCACACAGACCUCGCCCAAUCACUCGUGGUAAGUCUUCAGGUGACUUCCGAACCUUCACAAACUCGGUCACUCGGCGAUCCAUAAUUUCCUCUUGGAUGCUCUAGACCAUGACGCCUAACCGUCUGGAAGAAGCACAGUCUUCAAAGGUAACAAGCGUCGGAUCCACGCAGAAUCAAUCUCUUCAGUGAUGCUCAAUCACUUUGGGUUUGUAGGUGUUUGGGUUUUUCCUCACUUGAUGAUUUUUGCUCAAAGUCCUCGGAGGAUGGGAUGCUCUCAAAUGACAAGUGUCAGUUUCUCUCGGAGCAGCCAACCAGCUAGUGGUUGUAGGGGGCGGCUAUUUAUAGCCUAGGGAGCAACCCGACAUGAUAAGACAUAAAUGCCCUUCAAUGAUAUGACCGUUAGGUGGGUAGAUGUUUUGGGACAGCUGGCGCAUAGCACAACAACGGUCGGAAAUUUGAGUAUCAAAUUCCUCAGGGCUAUCAUGUUCCCCACUGUGUAGGCAAUCCGCACUAGCGAAUUCCUAACUCCUCGGUCAGAACAAAUUCCUCAGAGACCAGAAUAACUUCGUCUCUGUCACUGAAGAAUAUGACUGAACUGUAUGAGAUUUCCAAUGGCUUCACUCGAAGGGAUUGGUAGGUGUAGGAUUUUGAGUUGAGCAUCACAUGGAAAUUUUUCCUUAGUAUUUCCUCGACCCCCUUUAACAGUACGGUGUUUCCUAUGACUCAAGAAAGAGAAAAUGAAACUACAAAAACAAAAGUCUUCACGCUUCAUGUUCCACAAAUGAAUACCAAGUCUUCAAGGUCACACCAAUUUCUUCACUUUCAAAGUCUUCAGAAAUCCAAAGACUUCAGUCGAAGAACUUCAUUUUUAGGGGUCGACUUUCUCUGUAAAUAUCAAACUCCUCAUAGACUUAUAGACCUAUGUACACUCAUAAACACAUUAGUCCCUUAACCUAUAAGUCUUCAAUACACCAAAAUCACUAAGGGGCACUAGAUGCACUUACAAUCUCCCCCUUUUUGGUGAUUGAUGACAAUAUAGGUUAAGUUUUCAACGGGGAUAAACAUAUGAAGUGUAAAUACUGAUAUUGAGGAAUUUGAUUGCAAGAUAUAGAAGAACUCCCCCUGAAGAUGUGCAUAGUGAGGAAUUUGCUUUUGAAGCAAUGCACACUUGAAGAGUUGAAUCAUGGAGAUCUCCCCCCUAUAUCUUGUAAUUCAUACACGCAUUUGACAUAAUAUAUGAAGAAUUUGAGAUGCAUGAUGAAAUAUGGUGAUUGAUGUAAUUCAGCAUGCGUGCAAUAACAUUAACGAGGAAUAAGCAUGCAGAAGAAACAGCAAAAGUAUCAGGCCACCAUAGAGUUUUAAGUUUACAACUCGAUCCAACAAAGUCAUCAGAAGAACGAGAGUUGUAACUUAGAAAAAAAACGCCCAUAAAAGAUAGACCCGCUUGAAGACUAACUCAAAUUUAUCCCCCUUUGUCAUCAAAUGACCAAAAGGUUCGAAAAUGAGGACUAACGCCCCUGAAGAAUAUCAAGUUGAUGAAGGAGCGCCAGCGUUGUUGGGGUCGUUUGUUGAUGUAGGGCCUGCCGCAGUGUCGUCCAAGUCUUCAUGCUCAUCAGUUCCGCGCGAUGAAGAAUAGGAGCUGGCCACCAAGGAAAAAACCUUGACCUUCUUGUAUUUCUUCGGUGGAGGAGCAGACCAGUCAAAGUCUUCCUUGAGACCCAUAUUCUUCAGUUCUUCUUUGCUAUAGAUGUGAGACAGAAUAGCCCAGGUGCGACCGAAGACUUCAUGGAGGUAGUAAUGGUUUUUCUUCACUGCAUUAUGUGUAGCAGUCAUGUUGUGAAGAAUUGAACCAAACUGACGCUUAACCCAUUUAUGGUUUCGAUCCACCUUCUGGUGAAGACUUAGCAGAAGCUCAUGGUCAGUCAUCACACGAGGAGCAGUAGCUUGAGGAUUUGGCUUGGAGGCAUGGGCAGCAGAAUCAUGAGUGGCAGAGUCAUCAUUGGUGGAAUAAGAUGCAGCCUUGCGAAAUUGACCAUCCAAUGGACGAAUGCCUUCAUCUAUAACAGCUGGUGCCUUGCCCUUUUCGUCAGCAGAAGAAUAAGUCUGCUUGAGGACUUCAAUUGGGGGCAAGUAGCUGAGGUGAUUCUGAAAAUCUGCCUUGUAGUUGAGUGAAGACCUUGUUCCGAGGAAUCUCAUAAUCCAAGGUGCAUAAGGCUUCAGCUCAAAAGGAGAGAGUGCAACAUUUGCCAGAGUCCUCAUGAAGAAAUCGUGAUAAUUGACAGGAAUGCCAUGAAUGAUGUUGAAUACCAGAUUCUUCAUGAUGCCAACAAUUUCCUCAUCAGAUGAGUCGUGGCCUUUGAUUGGACUCAUAGUCUUCGUGAGAAUGCGAUAGACUGUCCUUGGUACAUACUGCAAUUCCUUCACGAGGAAUUUUGUCCUUGAGGCUUGACCGGGUUUCAAUGGCUUCAUCAGCACUUGCAUAUAGUGAUCUGUAAGCUCAGGCUCUUGGUACAUGCAACAAGCUCCUUCAGGUGGAGGACUAAUGGGCAGGGCGUGAAGUAAUUCAGAGGCCGGUGCUUUGUAAUGAGUGUUUUCAGUCAUCCAGUCCAAAACCCAGGAGUUCACAUCGUCAGGAUCUCCUGUGAUGUGCAAAGUUGCGUAGAAUUGAAGAAUGAGUUCUUCAUUCCAAUCAACUAUGUCUGUGCAAAAGUUGAGGAGGCCUGUGUCAUGAAGCACACUGAGGACAGGAGUGAAGCAUGGCAGUGAUUCCAUGUCCACAUGAGGAAUAUGCUCGUGGUCGAAGACUUUGUCCUUGUUGAAGAGCAGUGAAGAAUAGAAGUUGGCCUGGCUGGCGGUCCAGAAGCGCUUCCUUCUAAGACGAGCAGAAUCAUAGGGAUUGUAGUCAGUGAAGAACACGUGCUCGCCAAAGAAAUCAUCAGCCUUGAAUUUCUGCUUCUUUGAGAAUGGAUCCUUUGGCUUGUGCUGAGGAGUGUCAGUCAAUUGCAUUAUCACCUCAGGAAUCGCAAUCUCAGGUUCUUUAGGCUGAGGAAUUUCAGCUUCUACUCCAGUGACAGCCUGGGUCUUCAAUUCUUCAUGUACAUUUUCUUCAGCACUAGUGGCUAGAAUUUCUUCAUGGACAGAUGGGGUUGCACGAGGUUCUUCAUAUCCUAUUUGUACUUCAGUAGCAACAGGGGACUGAGGAAUUUGCUGUAAAUGUGUGAAGAGUGGAGAGUUGGGGUGCUGACUUUCCCAAAAGUCAUCAUUCAUCACUGGUGUGGUACAGCCAAUGUCCACGUCUUCAUCUUCUAUUUCUUCAAUGCCGGCCUCUUCAGCAGUAAACUGAGGCAUAGGCGAGGAAACAGCUGGAGUUGAUGGGAUUUCAUCCACUUCAAUUUCUUCAUCCAUUUGCUCUGACGAAGCAGCAGAAGGGUUUUCUUCAUCAGGUCCGCUAGGGAUCACAUAUUCUUCAUCAAAAGGAACAAGGUCCUUUGAUGGCAUGGUUGAGAUCAGAACAACAUCAAUGGGGUUUGCAACUGAGCUGGUCAAUUUCUUCAUCUUCUUCGGAGCUGAAGAAUCUGAAGAAGCUGAUGCUUUCCUUUUCUUCACUGCUCCACGCUCUGCAGCCUUGGUCUUCUUCACAUCUGAUGCAGAUGGAAGGAUUGGAGUUGGAGUAAGCGCAGGAGGAGCAGAGGAAUGUGUUUGAUUUUCUGCAGGCACAACUGAUGCAGUUGCCCUGACCUCGGCAAUUUCAUCAGCGGCUGGAAUGCAGUCAUCAGCCCUGGAACUCACAUUUUCUUCAGCAGCCUGAACGUCAUCAGCGGUGCUGGCAUGUUCUUCAGUUGGCUGAAAAGAUGCUUCAGUCUGAGGAAUUUCUUGUUGUGAUGGGGCUACAACAUUGGAGGUGAACUUCUUAGCCAGUUUAACAAACCUGACCUUGGCUCCUUGCCAAUCAGCAUAGUAAGCAUUGAAAUCAUCGCUGAGGACUUUGAUUUCAGACUGGUCUUCACAAGAUCAUCAGUUGUCAUAGAGACAACGUUGUUCUUCAAGAAUUUUUCCUUCCUGUACUGCGCUUUCUUCAUCUGCCUGGCCUUCUCAAAUUUCCAUUUCUCUUCUUGGAUGAAGGCAGUCAGCAUAUGAUUUUGGCCAGGAGUCAACUUGAAAUCAGGCAUAGGAGUGUUUGGGUCCUUGUGCCAGAGAUCAAUGUAAUCGAGGAUCAACUUUGGAUCCAAAAACAGAGGCACAUUUGUGCCCUUGGCUCUAGCGGCCCUGACUUGCCUAUCUCUGAUGAUUUCAGCAAGUUCUUCAUCAUCAGCUUCGUCUUCUUCAGACGGCACUUGGAAGGCGACCUGCUUCUUGUGAGGACUUGGGCGAGAACCUCGUCCAGUAGUGGUCUUUGUCUUCAGCAGAGAGGGUCCUGUUGAAGAAUUUGGAGCAGCUGAGGAACUAGCUGAAGCUCCAGAGGCAAUAGAGAUGCCUGUAGUCCUUUGGCACAUGGCAAGAUGCACAGGUGCUGAGGAUUUGGUCGGAGCAGCUGAGGACUUAUGCAGAGGAGCUGAGGAUUUUGGAGGAGCAGGAGCAGCAUGAGGAAUCGACCGUGAGGGCUUUGAGGAUUCUGGCCGUGAGGGAAUUGAAGGUGAAGCACUUGGCUUACGCGCAGGCUUCUUUGCCAUGGAUUUCUUCGGCUUGACAGAGGCCUCAGCGGCAGCAGCAGCAGCAGAGUCUUCAUUGAAUUCCCUCACUGCUUCUCUGGCUUGUCUAGCCAGCUUGGCCUGGCGCUUGGCCCAUUCAUCAGGAUAAUCCUCACCACGCUUGAGGCUGGUGGGAUCAGCUUCUUGGUCAGGUGCCAACGGAGGUCUUGGGCAUGGAGGAUUGAGUGCGAAUUUCUUCAUGUACUUGGGAGUCACAUACCUGUACUCCCUCCACUCUCUUGCCCAUCUCCUCUCUAUCUUCUGAAUGCGCACCUUGCGCUGAUUUUUAUCUUCCUCAAGGGGUGUGCAGUACCCAGCAUAGAUGUCCUCAGGGAUUUCAAAUGCAGUGUUGACCUCAAUCCUCUUUCCUCCUUUCUGUGGCUUCUUUCCAUCAGCCAUUUUCUUCAGAUGACGAAUUUGAACAAUUGAAUUCUCUGAAGAAGUAUGCAACUUUUCUUCGAGGAACGCUGCAAAUGAGUUAAGUUGAUGAGAACCUAGAGAUUCAGCAGCGGACAUGAGUACCUGUGAACAGAGUAUAGUUGCGAGGAAUUUGGAGAGGUCAUAUGCGUUCUCAGAAGGUUUUUCAAAAAGAACAAGUUUGAGGAAUUUGACCAGAUGAGUCUUGAAGAAUUUCACUAAGCGUUCUUUGUCUUAGGUUCCAGAGUUGUAUAGAUCGAUGAUCCACACAAUUGAGAAAUCUUGAAGAAAAAUUAUUGCUUAGAGAAACGAAUCAAGAAUAGAUGACCUGUGAGGUGUUUAGUGUGUGAAGAAUUUGAAGAAUAAACACCUUUGAAGAUUUUGUAAAAAUCAUUUGAAUCAAAGAGGGCAGUAAAAGUAACUUUUAAUUACCCUGGACGAAGAACACGACGAACUGUGAGGUAGAGAUGAGAAGUUCGUCUGUGCAGAUCUUCCACGCCCUAACUCGGCGGAGGAAGACGGCUACGGCGGCGGCGGAGUGAAGAUUUUCGCGGCCGGCGCGAGUACGGCGGCGACGAGGUCGAGGCAGUGAAGCUCUUUCUCACCGGCGACGAUGAAGUAGCGGCGGCGCUAGGGUUUGAGAACCUCGAGCUGGAGAGAGGUCAAGUGGAGUAAAGGAAGUGAGGAAGGGGGGAGGGGGUAUUUAUAGCCACGGUGAAAAACUGUUCGCCCGAAGAUUUUGGACGAACGUGCCCCUGACCCUUCUCAUUCGCUUGGCAUGUGUCACCCACGUACUGAGAAGUGGAGAUCGUGGAUGAAUAGAUAAGUAUUUCGUGGGAUGCGGAACGGUUUGAGCGGCAAAGCCGAAAAUUUAGAUAAGAUAAGUUAAAAGUUCCGUUCGCAAAUUCUUCAGCUGACAAGGACACAAUGAAGAUUUUGAACGAGUUUCAAAUAGAACGCACAUGAAGAAUUUGUGAAUAGAUUGGGUUGAGUAUAGCAUAGAGGGCGAAGGGUCCGAUCACAUUCACUUGGCAGAAAAACCAACUUGAAGAAUUAGCCAUAAGUGAAUGUUGUAGAGGACAUAAACUCAUAUAUAUAUAUAUAUAUAUAUAUAUAUAUAUAUAUAUAUAUAUAUAUAUAUAUAUAGCGAAUGAAGAAAAACGACGGAAACAGUGAAGAUUUUGCAAAGUUGAAGAAAAUGAACAACCGAGGAAUUUCAAAACUGAGGAAAAACUCAAAUUGAACAUUUUCAACUUUUGGUGGUGGCGUGACCCACCGUAUAAGAGUGAUGAUUUCAGACACCGGGUACAAUUGUCGUAGGUUCUGAGAAUCAAAUUCUUCGUUAAUUUCUUCACACUUAGAGUGUUAUUCUUCAUUGAUUGAAGAAAAACGUUUCUAGAUGUGUUGCACAUCUAAGUCAUCAAAUUUGCAUAAGUGUUAGGAUGAGUGUCCUUUUCAAAGAACAUUCGAAGAUUCUAAGAUAUUUAGCUCACACCGCAACUUGCUAAAUCUCUUCUCAUCCAAGGGCUUUGUGAAGAUACCGGCUAGCUGUUCUUCAGUCUUCACAUGCUCUAUAGAAAUGUCGCCCUUCAACACAUGAUCGCGAAGAAAAUGAUGACGAAUCUGAAUGUGCUUUGUCUUCGAGUGCUGAACUGGGUUGUGAGCAAUCUUGAUGGCACUCUCAUUGUCACAGUAGAGAGGCACAUUCUUCAUGUUGACGCCGUAGUCCUUGAGAGUUUGCUUCAUCCACAGCAAUUGAGCACAGCAAGAACCAGCAGCAAUGUACUCAGCUUCAGCAGUAGACAGUGGUACGCAGUUCUGUUUCUUCGAGGACCAACAGACCAAAGAUCGUCCGAGGAAAUGACAUGCACUAGAUGUUGACUUGCGGUCCACACGAUCACCAGCAUAGUCAGAGUCAGAAUAUCUAAUGAGAUCAAAAGCCGAGCCCUUGGGGUACCAUAAUCCAAGUGUUGGUGUGUGAGCUAGAUAUCGAAGAAUAUGCUUCACAGCCUUAUGGUGUGAUUCCUUCGGUGUAGCUUGAAAUCAGGCACACAUGCAAACACUAAGCAUAAUAUCUGGCCUAGAUGCACAUAAAUACAAUAAAGAACCAAUCAUGGAGCGGUAUACCUUUUGAUCGAAGUCAAUACCAUUUUCAUCAGUGCACAGAUGGCCAUUUGUGGGCAUCGGAAUUUUGACGCCUUUGCAAUCUUGCAUGCCGAAUUUCCUCAGUACAUCCUCGAGGUAUUUCUCCUGAGAUAUGAAUAUGCCAUUGCGUUGUUGACGAAUUUAAAGACCUAAGAAGAAUUUCAAUUCUCCCAUCAUAGACAUUUCAUAUUCUUCACUCAUCAUAUAGGCAAAUUCAUCACUAUAACGUUGGUCAGUACAGCCAAAGAUAACAUCAUCAACAUAUAUUUGGCACACAAACAAUUCAUCAUCAUAAGAUUUAGUGAAAAGAGUAGGGUCGAGUGAACUGGGUUUGAAGCCUUUCUUCGUGAGGAAUUCCUUCAAAGUAUCAUACCACGCCCGAGGGGCCUGCUUGAGGCCAUAGAGGGCCUUAUUGAGUCUGAAGACUUUGUCAAGAUUCUUUGGAUCUUCAAAACCUGGGGGUUGAGCAACAUAUACUUCUUCCUCAAGCUUACCAUUGAGGAAUGCACUUUUCACAUCCAUUUGAUAUAAAGUGAUAUCAUGAUGGUUAGCAUAAGCAAGUAAUAUGCGAAUAGCCUCAAGUCUAGCAACAGGUGCAAAAGUUUCAUCGAAUCAAUUCCUUCAACCUGUGUGUAGCCUUGAGCUACAAGCCGUGCCUUAUUCCUCACCACAAGGCCAUUUUCAUCUUGCUUGUUGCGGUAGAUCCACUUUGUGCCAAUGAUAUUGUGCUUGCGAGGAUCUGGACGUUUGACCAGUUCCUAGACAUUGUUGAGCUCGAAUUGAUGUAAUUCUUCUUGCAUGGCCUGAAUCCACUCAGGCUCCAGAAAUGCUUCAUCUACCUUAGUGGGCUCUGUGAUAAAGACAAAAGCAUAGUGCCCACAAAAGUUAGAUAAAUGUGAAGCUUUUGAGCGUGUGAGAGGACCUGGUGCUUCAAUGUCAUCGAUGAUCUUUUCAACUUGCACUUCUUUUGCAACGUGAGGAUGAGCUGGUUGUCGUCGAGGAAUUUGAUCAGCAUUUUCUUCAACACCAUUUUCUUCAGCAUUUUCUUCAGGUGCAUUAGCUCGACAUUCUUCACGUUCUGGAAUGAAUUCUUUAGCAGAUUCUUCGGUAGGAAUGACAUCCUCAGUAGCCUUGAACUUGAUAGUUUCCUCAGGUGCUGGUUCAUCUAUCACAGAGGGUAGGUGCUCUCUUUUCGAGCCAUUAGUUUCAUCGAACCGCACAUCUACAGUUUCAACAACCUUGUGAAGAACGUUGUUGAAGACUCUGUAGGUGUGCGAGUCCUUUCCGUAACCAAGCAUAAAACCUUCAUGUGCUUUUGGUGCAAAUUUAGCAUUGUGAUGAGGAUCUCUAAUCCAACAUUUAGCACCGAAGACUUUGAAAUAACUCACAUUGGGUUUCUUGUCAGUGAGGAGUUCAUAGGCAGUCUUCUUGAAAAAUUUGUGAAGAUAUACCCUAUUGAUGAUGUGGCACGCAGUAUAAAUUGCCUCAAUCCAGAAGUGACGAGGUGUCUUGUACUCAUCAAGCAUAGUGCGAGCCAUCUCAACAAGAGUUCUGUUCUUGCGCUCCACGACGCCAUUCUGCUGAGGAGUGUAAGGAGCAGAUAACUCAUGAGUAAUACCAAGUUCAUCAAGAUAGUCAUCAAGACCAGAAUUCUUGAACUCAGUUCCAUUGUCACUUCUGAUGUGCUUGAUUUUCACACCGAAGUUGGUUGAAGCCCUCGAGGAAAAUCGUUUGAAGACUUCCCGCACUUCAUGUUUGUAAGUGACAAUAUGUACCCAAGUGUAACAAAAGUAAUCAUCAACAAUAACAAAGCCAUAGAGAGAUGCAUCAUUUGUGACUGCUGAGUAAUGGUUAGGACCGAAGAGAUCCAUAUGAAGCAAUUCAAAUGGUCGAGUAGUGGUCAUGAUAGUCUUUGCUGGAUGCUUAGCCUUGGUCAUCUUUCCAGCUUCACAGGCUCCGCAUAAGUGAUCCUUGAGGAAUUUGACAUUCUCAAUGCCAAUGAUGUGCUUCUUCUUCGCAAGCGUGUGCAAAUUCCUCAUGCCUGCAUGACCAAGUCGUCGAUGCCAUAGCCAGCCUUCUGAAGCUUUUGCAAGUAGGCACACGGCUGGUUGCGGUCAUGUAGAGAAAUCAACAAUUACAAGUCUCCUCUCCUAAAGCCUUCGAAGACUUUGGAAUUGUCAGCUUCCAUAACCACAACACAACGAUACUUGCCAAAGACAACAACCAUAUCAAGAUCAACAAGCAUUGAGACAGACAUAAUGUUGUAUCAUAAGGACUCGACAAGCAUGACUUUGUCCAUGUGUCGAUCCUUUGUGAUCGCAACCUUACCUAGACCCAAUACCUGACUUUUGCCUUUGUCAGCGAAGAUGAUAUGCUUCAGAUGCGAUGGUGAUAAGGGAGCAUCCAUCAAUAGAUUCUUGUCACCAGUCAUGUGAUUUGUACAUCCACUAUCGAGGACCCACUCAGUGGCUUUGGGUUGAUCAUCCUGCAGAUGAAUUAGUGCAGCUUACGAACUUCAUAUACUUCAUCAGUGAAGAAUAUGACAUCACAAUUCAUCAGACCAAUUUCAUCAAGAAAUGCAACAGUUAAAACAGUAUGAGGACGUGAGAAAUGAAAGUUCAUUUCUUCAUGAUUAGCAUGCGUCCUUUCAGGCACUCUUCAGGUCUCCAGCAAAUUCUUCAGACGUUCAAGCACGUCUGGAGACCUGACCCUGCAGAAGAGAUUAGUUCUUUUUCUUCACCACCCACAUCUGAAGGGGUGGCAAAGCGUUCAUCACUCUGCGAGCUCCAUACGAGAAAGGUGGCAUAGAAGUCAAUCCAUUUCGUUUCACAUAAGAGGAGUUAGGGUAAGCAUAUGAAUAAGCAGAGAAAUUCUUCGAGGACUUAUGAACAUAAUGAUUAGAAGAAUAAUGCUCAUAUUCAUAGCCCUUAGCUCUUCCCUGCGAAACAGAGUUGUUAGCACGAUGAUGUUCAUAUGAGGACUUUGAUCCUUUUGAGGAAUAUGAUCCACGUGAGGAAUUCAAUCCGUGUGAGGACUUGGAUCCAUAUGAAGAAUUUGAUCUGGGGUUCCUAUUCUUCACAGGUGGUGUCAUGAGGACAUUCACCUAAAGACUUUCAAGGCACCUUUUGGGAACCCAGAUUUUCUUCAUAGGAGAACCGUUCCUGCAGUUAGUGCCAACAUAUCUAGCAAAUACUUCACCAUUCUGAUUUUUAAACAAUUUAUAGUUGGAGUCAAAUGACUCAUCAGAAGAAUGAGAAGAUUCACAAGUAAAGCCAGAUAAAUAGAUGGAUCAACUGGAGGUCCCUUUGCAGCAACCCAUGAGGUUUUGGGGUACUGCUCAGGCUUCCAAUAUGUACCAUCAGCAUUGAGUUUCCUCUCAAAGGCAAUACCCUCUUUCCUAGGGUUCCUGUUGAGGAUCUGCUUUUUAAGCACAUCACAAAGAGUCUGAUGCCCUUUGAGGCUUUUGUACAUGCCUGUCAUGUACAAUUCCUUCAGCCCUGCAUCGUCAGUGAUACUAGCAAUGUCCUCAGAUGAGGAAUUAGUGAUAGCAGAGACAGUUGAAGAAUUUGUAGCAGAAGCAUUUGAACAUUCAGGUGAAGAAUUAGCAGAUUCACGUUCAAUGCAUUUCAAAUAUGGAGGAACAAAUUCUUCCUGAGCAGCGCUGAUUUGUUGAGCCAGUAAUGAAUCGCGCUCCUUCUAAAGAUCUUCAUAACUCACUCUUAGCUUCUCAAGAUCUUGCUUUCUUUGAAGAAAUUCAUAAGAAAGCUUCUCAUGAUCAGAUAAGAGAGUGUUAUGAUGACCUUGAAGGUUGUCAAACCUAGUCUGAAGUCUCUGGAGAUUUUCAGUCAAGGUUUUAGUGCGAUCCAUUUCUUCACCCAGCAUAUCAUCACUUUUGUCUAGCAUGUUUUGAACCUUUUCAAAAGCCCUUUGUUGUUUCACAGCAAUCUUAGCAAGUUUAGAGUAGCUGGGCUUGAGGUUUUCAUCAGAUUCAUUCUCACUAGAUUCAGAGGAGGUAUAUUUGAGUACCUUGGCACCCUUUGCCAUGAAGCAAUAGGUGGGAGCGUAGUCAUCAUUGCCUUCAUCAGCCUUGUUGGUGAAGCCAUUUUCUUCAGAGUUGAAGAUAGACUUGCUGACGAAUGCAGUAGCGAGAGCUAGACUCGCUACUCCAGACUCGGACUCCUCAGAUGCCUCCUCUUCCUCAUGUCCCUCAGAUUCAGCUUCAGAGUCCAUUUCCUUGCCAAUGAAUGCCCGAGCCUUCUUGGAGCUGCUCUUCUUGUGAUAUGAAGACUUUGAGGAUUUUGAUGAUGAAGAUUUUGAGGAUUUCUUCUUUUUCUUCGCAUCAUCAGAACUGUAAUGCUUGUAUUUCUUCUUCUUUGAUUCCUUUUCCAACUGAGGACAAUCUUGAAUGUAGUGUCCAGGUUUCUUGCAUUUGUGACAAAGCCUCUUCUUGUAGUCACUGGAUGAGGAAUCAUAGCUCCUUGAGGAUCUUCCAAAGCGACCACGUCUUGAGAACUUCUGAAAUUUCUUCACGAGCAGUGCUAGUUCCUGGCUCAGUUCUUCAGGAUCACCAAGGCUGCUGCCAGAGUCUUCAUCUUCGGACUCAGAAACUGCCUUGGCCUUCAGUGCACGUGAUCUGCCAUAGCUUGAACCAUAGAGAUCUCUCUUUUCAGCAAGCUGGAACUCAUGAGUAUUUAGCCUCUCGAGGAUAUCAGCGGGAUCAAGUGACUUGUAAUCAGCACGUUCUUGUAUCAUCAAUGCCAGAGUAUCAAAUGAGGAAUCAAGCGAUCUCAACAAUUUCUUCACCACCUCAUGGUCGGUGAUGUCAGUGGCACCAAGCGCUUGAAGCUCAUUUGAGAUGUCAGUGAGGCGAUCGAAGGUUUGUUGAACAUUUUCAUUGUCGAGUCUUUUGAAGCGGUUGAAGAGAUUGUGAAGAACAUCAACUCGAGAGUCACGCUGAGUUGAAACUCCUUCAUUCACUUUGGACAGCCUAUCACAGAUAAGCUUAGCAGUUUCCAAAGCACUCACUCUUCCAUACUGUCCUUUGCUCAGAUGGCCACAUAUGAUAUUCUUCGCUUGAGAAUCGAGUUGCUUGAAUCUCUUCACAUCGGUAGCGUUCAGUGAGGGUGAGACAAAGGGAACACCAUUUUCCACAACAUACCAGAGAUCGUUAUCAAUUGCCUCAAGAUGCAUUCGCAUCUUAUUCUUCCAGUAGGGGUAGUCCGUCCCAUCGAAGGUACGACACCCAGCAGAGAUCUUGAUCAUACCCGUGGUAGACAUAACUAAAACUCCAGGCGGUUAAACCAAAAUCACACAGAACAAGGGAGUACCUUGCUCUGAUACCAAUUGAAAGUGCGUUAUAUCGACUAGAGGGGAGGUGAAUAGGCGAUUUUUAUGAAUUCUUCACUGAGGAAUUUGCAGGUGAGGAAAUUCCUUAGCGAAGAACUACUUGCAGCGGAAUAAGUACUCAAAAGUAAACAUAGCAGAACACAAGCAUGGUCAUCAUGAUGAAAUGAAGACAAGCACAGAGUACAGAAAGCGUAAACACAGGAUAACACAAGAUGAAGACAAACAGACUGAAGAAAUUGAACUGAGGAAAUUGAGAAAGUCUUCAGUCAAAGUCUUCAAACACAUAUAUGAACAGGUGCACAACACAGUUAUGAGGAAAUGAAAGAGUUGAGGAAAUAGAACCAGUAAGCUUGGUGAAGACAAUGAUUUGGUAGACCAGUUCCAACUGCUGUCUCAGUUGUACAUUUGGUUAGGGCGGCUAGGUAUUUAAACCUGAGGACACACAGUCCCGGACACCCAGUCCUGAACACGCAGUCCAGGACACUUAGUCCUCACCGUAUUCCCCUUGAGCUAAGGUCACACAAACCUCGCCCAAUCACUCGUGGUAAGUCUUCAGGUGACUUCCGAACCUUCACAAACUCGGUCACUCGGCGAUCCAUAAUUUCCUCUUGGAUGCUCUAGACCAUGACGCCUAACCGUCUGGAAGAAGCACAGUCUUCAAAGGUAACAAGCGUCGGAUCCACGCAGGAUCAAUAUCAUCAGUGAUGCUCAAUCACUUUGGGUUUGUAGGUGUUUGGGUUUGGGUUUUUCCUCACUUGAUGAUUUUUGCUCAAAGUCCACGAAGGAUGGGAUGCUCUCAAAUGACAAGUGUCAGUUUCUCUCGGAGGAGUCAACCAGCUAGUGGUUGUAGUGGGCGGCUAUUUAUAGCCUAGGGAGCAACCCAACAUGAUAAGACAUAAAUGCCCUUCAAUGAUAUGACCGUUAGGUGGGUAGAUGUUUUGGGACAGCUGGCGCAUAGCACAACAACGGUCGGAAAUUUGAGUAUCAAAUUCCUCAGGGCUAUCAUGUUCCCCACUGUGUAGGCAAUCCGCACUAGCGAAUUCCUAACUCCUCUGUCAGAACAAAUUCCUCAGAGACCAGAAUAACUUCGUCUCUGUCACUGAAGAAUAUGACUGAACUGUAUGAGAUUUCCAAUGGCUUCACUCGAAGGGAUUGGUAGGUGUAUGAUUUUGAGUUGAGCAUCACAUGGAAAUUUUUCCUUAGUAUUUCCUCGACCCCCUUUAACAGUACGGUGUUUCCUAUGACUCAAGAAAAAGAAAAUGAAACUACGAAAACAAAAGUCUUCACGCUUCAUGUUCCACAAAUGAAUACCAAGUCUUCAAGGUCACACCAAUUUCUUCACUUUCAAAGUCUUCAGAAAAUCUUCAAAAAUCCAAAGUCUUCAGUCGAAGAACUUCAUUUUUAGGGGUCGACUUUCUCUGUAAAUACCAAACUCCUCAUAGACUUAUAGACCUGUGUACACUCAUAAACACAUUAGUCCCUUAACCUAAAAGUCUUCAAUACACCAAAAUCACUAAGGGGCACUAGAUGCACUGACACAUGUCAGUCCUAGUGCUUGGUUCAUGUUAAGAUGUAGACCUUGGAAGUACACGGACCGAAUACUCAAGUCCCAUGGUAGUCACAGUAACUCUUUAGAUAUAAAAAAUAUAGGUGUUCUCUUAAGAAAAAAAGAGGUGCAGACCACAAACUUCACACUGAAUACUCCAGUUACAUCAAGACCACCACAUCAGAACCUCCUAAACUGAAGCAAAGUAAUCUACCAGUCAACCUUAUCGUGUUCCCAUUCCCUGUAUGACGACCCUUUUUGUAUCUUUUGCCGAGAUAUAUAUCUUCAGACACCUUGCUAACGUACAAACGAAAAAUCCCCUUUUGUCAGACUAAAAGAAGGAUAUUCUGAAACUACAUCACCAGAAUCCAGGAACACCGCAAAUGGUGUAAUUGUAACAGUAAUCCUAAAUUGGGACAUGCAUUAGCCUAUAUAAUUAUUACUCGGCAAAACACACUUUCCAUAAAAAUUAAUUACUGAGCUCAAGAAAACCUACUCAAGAUGGAUGGAACCAACAUUCUUUGGCUACACACAAAUUGAUGCAAGAUGAAUAGCUACCUAGGCCAGAUAUUGAAUCAAAAGUCAUUGAUUUAUCGAGCAGUGCAGAAAGUAAAAAACUGAACAUGUGACCAUCUCCAAGCUCAUAAAGCGAAUACGAAACCUGAAAUUUAUCUAACAUGAGGCCAACAACAGAACUGGCCGAGUAACGAUUUAUCCACAUAGAAUUUCCUUCCUAAUUAAGCCAAGCCCCAAAUACUCUUAUCCAUACACAAAAGAACAAAAAACAUGAACAUUCCAUGCACAAAGGAACAAGUGUCGGCCCUACCAGGAAGGGACAAAAGGCAAGGCAACCACACAAAAAACCAGUGCACAAAGUGAAUGAUACUUUUGGUUGUAUCAGAAACAAGACAAGAAAUAGAAGGAUCUUAUUCGCCAGCCUAUGCACAACCAGCAUAUCACCAUACAACCGUGUACCUAGCUCUGGAAAAGAAGGGGAGCAUAAAGGAUGGGGAGAAGAAGGGUUGACCUGCAGAUCAGUCAACGGAGACGAGCAGGCAUAGAUCGAAGGAGGCAUCGACCAGGGGAUUGAGCCACAGAGGACUAACCGCAGGUAUAGGAAGGGAAAAAUAGGGAUUAGCAGCAUCCAAUCACCAAGAACAGGAGAAAAUAGACAAAUACCUAGAGAUCGACGAGUACAUCAGUAGAUCCGGCGAAAAGACUGGAAGAACGAGGGGACCUGCAACCAAACGAGAUUCCAAAUCAACGAACGACGGGUAAACAAAGGGAACCAUGUCCUUCGCUGCCUCCUCCUCAUCUUCCUGGCUCUCACAGGUGGCGACGUACAAGCAAGAAAAGGUGAGGGGGUGGGCCGACCUAAGAUCCUCUCGUCCAUCCGUGUAGUGGCACGCCUCUGCAGCUCGAGCUCGGUGACGAGAAGUGUGAGAGGAGAUGGGGCGGGGGCACCAGGGGAAUGAGCGGCCACCAUGGCACCUUGGCGAGCCCCGGACCAGCUCCGGGUGCCUCUUCCCCAUGCGAUGGCAUCUCACCUCAGCACGAGAUCCUGGUCACUCUCCUCCCGGUGAUGGCGAGAGGCGACCUCGAUGGGGACUGCAGUGGUGGCGGCGAGCUUGGCGACGGGAAAGGAACAGGGAGGAGGAGGGGCGGAAGCGCGGGGGCGACGGCUGUGCGAUGGGGAGUGGGGCGGCGCGAGUGCGGGAGGAAGAGGAGGGGCGAUGGAGGAGCGAGUGCGGGAGGAGCAGGGCGGCAGCUAGGUUUCCACGGGAGAUGUUGCAAUAUAUAGCCACAUGUGAAAUGACGAAAAUGCCCUCCAAGGGACAAGCUAUUUACGUGCGGUGGCACGGUCGAGGUGAAACUAUUCAUUCCUACAGGAGUGCCUCUUCGAUCUGACGAGCGAGGUCGUUCCAGGGGUCAAUCCGACAGCCCAGAUUCGAUCAAGCCACCUGAUCCAACGGCCAGGAAUCCAAUUUGCUGAGAGCGCCCGGGAGUGCCUCGAUCUCUUAUUUCUCGAUACAGUGUGUUCACCAAAUCACAUAUGUUGCACUUUUUUUUAACUCAAAAUACAUGCAUAUAAUAUGGAAAAUUCCAAAGAAACAGAACUUUCAAAAACAUCUCCUCUAUUGCAUGAAAUCAUAAACACCUGUCAUAUUUACAAGAUAGUCCUGAGCUUUGACUACGACAACACGCCAUUAUUUUGCUGACUUACUCAAAAUAGACACGCGGAGUUUGGAACACACGCCAUUAUUUUUUUACAGGGUACUACGAACACAUGGCUGGUCAGUUUGGAACACGCGGAGUUUCUUUCCCAGCUAGCUUCUGCACAAGUGAAAAAAAAGGAUUCUCAGUAAAAAAAGACAUCAAUGAUGUCAAUAGAACGAAAUUUCUAAUAGGAUUUUUAUGAAUCAAUGAGUAUGUGAAUACAAGAAAAAUACAGUAUGGCAAUUGCAGUAUGCGAGAAAAUACAAAAGUAUACAUCAUUAAUCAUGCUGCGGACCAAUUUUGAACAUCCUACACAAAUCCGACACAUCCAUGGGGUGGGGAAAAACAUAGCUGUGUGAAGACAGCAGUUCAAUAUCUACAUACUCCUGCUUUCUAUAGAUAUAGCUCAUUUCCUUCUUUAUGUUAAGGUCAAGCAGUCAAUGUUAAAAAACAUAUCUAAAUUAAAUAAUUCCCAGUGUUUUAUGUCAUAGCAAAGUCUUUUCGCCUUGGCAUAAUUUUGUUUGGUUUAAUACCUUGGCUAAUAUACUGUUACCUCUUGCAGUGAAGUUCAGCGAAACCAGGGCAACUAGGUAUGAGAGCUCAAAGCAAGGAGCUGACUUUUUAAAUUUACUUGUUUACUAACUUACUAAUGAAAUAUUUUUGCAGUUAACCACAUGAUUCACUUUUGGUAUGAAGUCCAUAUAAUUGUAAAUGUAUUAAGUAAAGAACUUAUUCUAGUGUCUAAUGUAUGUGCUCAUUUUAGUUUUAAAUUUUCACAGUUGAUAAAAUGACUGAUUUCAAAAUUUUGUAGACAGUUAGUUCGAUAAGCAGCAUAAGCGAAUAGAUAAGUAAUUCACUCAGAAAUUGAUUCUCCUCUACCCGGCUUCACGUAAUAAAUAAAGUAAUGUCUUGCAUAUAUGUUUUAUCUCGUCACCUCAAUUACACAUAUAGAUCAAUGAAUUAAUAUUUAUUAUUCAUAACGAACAAAAGAAACUAUCCAGAUUUGUUCUUGAGCAGCAAACCAAGUUAUCUGUUUUUCACUUCCUUCGUUUCUUUAUGCAAGACAUCAUGCAUCACAAGAUUCAAGUUUGACCAACAAUUAGAUCAAUAAAACGUGGGUUAUAUGACAAAGAGAUAAUACCAUUGGAAAACGCUCAAGAGCGAACCCAAUGAUAUCAUUUUCUUUGUCAAAUAAACGACAUUUCAUUAAUCUAAUUGUCAGCCAAACUUGAAUCAUGGAAUGCUAAAUAUCUCACAAAAAGAAAACCAAGAGAGUGUUUUUCACUUGAUAUACAAAUGUAUUUCGUAGCCUGUUAUACCAUGGUGUAUCGUUCUGUUCUUACGCAUUAGUAUAUUACUAACCACACAAAGUAUCAUCUCUCCUCUUCAGAUUUAAUGACAACUGGAAAUAUGACAGAUAAUAUUUUGUAAUGUUAACCAUGCAUAAACUCUUACUAUUUGUUUGCAAGGGACCAGUAAAUACCAGGAUUUGUUUGAAAAACAACAAACUAGUUAGUUGUUUUUCACUCCCUCCAUUUCUUUAUGUGGACGCCAUGCAUCACAAGACUUAAGUUUGACCAAAAAUUAGAUCAAUAAAACAUGGUUUACAUGACAAAAAAGGUAAUAUCAUUGGAAAACACUUUUGUAUGAACCCAAUGAUACCAUUUCUUUGUCGAAUAAACAACAUUUUGUUAAUCUAAUUGUCAGCCAAAAUUAAAUCCUGAAAUACUAGACGUCUUACAAAAUCAAAUAGAGUGCUUUUAACUUAAAUGUAUCUUGAAGCUUGUUAUACAAUGGUGUAUCUUUGUGUUCUUAAGCAUAAUACUAACUGCACAAAGUAUCAUCUCCCAUCUUCAGAGUUAAUGAUAAUCUGGAAAGAUGAGAGAUAAUAUUUUGUAAUGUUAGCCAUGCAUAAACUCGUAAGAGAACAAAAAAAAAA
rnacentral:lncRNA from 1 species